UUAAUUGAAGCCAAAAUUGAGGCACUUUAAUGUUAAUAAAGCAAUUGAAUAAAUGUCCAAUUAAA
rnacentral:tRNA from 1 species